AGCUGAUGUUGAGGAGGAAGCUGAGGAUCGUGCUCGGGUGACCUUGACUGCUGCAGCCGGAUCACCGGCCUCAUGUAGGUUGCAGAAUUUGAGACAGAAUCCUAGAAAAUCAAAAGAGGAAUUGA